UUCAUGCCAAUGAGGUUGUAUAAUCUGAAGUAUUUAAUGUUGAUACAACUAUACAUUGUCUACAAAGUUCUUUGAUUGUU
rfam:Hordeum vulgare subsp. vulgare, WGS project CAJW01000000 data, contig: morex_contig_364478